AAAAACCGAUUUGUAUGCAUAUAACUGACAUCGCUUUUUACUGUUGACAGAUGACAAAACUUUUGUUUGAAUUUUCAGAAAACCGCUGAGCGGCUAAGUUAAAAUUUGUAAAAGAAGCGCGGGGGAGGAAAAACUCAUUCCCACACUUAGACAUAUUUAGAGUAACAUUGACUUCAGCUUGCCCUAACACUAUUCGACCAAACCUCCCUUUUCUGCUUCGUUCUCCGCCUCCGACAAAAAUCAUCCUCCUCUUCGUUCUCCGCCUCAGACCACAACCCUCCUCCUCGUCUCCGUUCUCCGGCUACAAUCAGAACCCUACCCUCCUCCUUUUCCGCCUCGGACCAGCUCCUCUGCUCGACGAUGGAAUGCCGCAUCUCUUCUCUCUCUCUCUCUUUCCUUCUCUCUCCUGCAAAACUGGUGGCUCUGGUUAUCUGGACUUCCAAGCUUCCAGCUCUCCACCUCUGGUUAUCCAUAUUCGCUGGUGAGUCGGUGACAUUGCUGGUUCACAAUUUCAAUCGAAGGCUCGAACUCUUCCUCUUGCUGUGAAGCCGCAAAGCAGAAAUUUUGGGUUCGAAGCUUGGUGAUUCUUCAAGCUCGAUUUAUGGGUUUUGGAUUCAGUGAUUCUUCAACUCUUCACUCUUGUUAAGUUUCUGGGCGCAUUGUCAUUUGUAUGAUGGUAUCAAACUGUGAAUUGUUUCUGGGUUUAAUGUUUUCAAUCGAUCUGUUCUGGGUUUUCAGUUGAAGUAUCGAGCUCGUGGUCAACUGGUCUUGCUCUUGGAGUCUUGGUUCGAUUCAGAAAUCUUCAAGCUCAGGAUCCAAAGGAGGAGGCUAAAGCAGAGACAAGGGAUUGGAUAAACACUGUGGAUGAUUCUGCUGCACUUAGGAGUGCUGCUUCUACCUGGCACGCUGAACUGGCACCGCUCCUGAAGCC